UACGGGGGGGGCAAGCGUUGUUCGGAAUUACUGGGCGUAAAGGGUUCGUAGGGGGCUGGCUAAGUCAGACGUGAAAUCCCUCAGCUCAACUGGGGAACUGCGUCUGAGACUGGUCAGCUUGAGUGCAGGAGAGGAACGCGGAAUUCCAGGUGUAGCGGUGAAAUGCGUAGAUAUCUGGAGGAACACCGGUGGCGAAGGCGGCGUUCUGGACUGCAACUGACACUGAGGAACGAAAGCCAGGGGAGCAAACGGG
rnacentral:rRNA from 1 species